AAAAUCUCUUUUUUUGUUUUUGAUUUAUAACACAUCUUUUUUCAAAUACAAAAUAGGAAACACAAUAACAAAAGACUCGACAUUACUAUACAGAACUAUUUGGUAAAAGACGGCAUAAAAAAUCUCCUUCAGCAACUCCUGAAUGAGCGAUCCUGACUGGAUGGUCCCGGGGUAUCUGUCAUGCUCAAACUCCGGUAAGUAGAUCCACACCUAUAUGAGAAAAUUAAGACCAAAUAAAGUUAAAGACCUAGAACACUAUGUGAGACAAUAACACUUCCAAUUGGAUACAUGCAAGAUAUGAUUGAGGCUAUUUUUGCAAAAUGGCUUAUGUGGCCAAAAAGUUGCUAGAAAUGCAAACUCAACAAAGGUGACCUAUAAGCCAUGGAAAAAUUACUUUACAGAAAUGACUCAUUUUGUAGAAAUAGCCUAUGUGGACAAAAAGAUGGCUAAGCAUGCAAAUUCAACACAAUGGACCUUAAGCAGAGAGAACAUCUUGUUGUGGACUUAAAACUCUAAAACAUGGGUCACUGAACCAUUUUUGCAAAAAUGAUCCCAUUUUGCAAGAACGACCGAUGUGGCCAAAGCGGCUAGACAUGCAAAUUCGACAAGGAUAGACCUUUAAAGCAAAGAGACACCUAAUUAUGGAUUGAAGGCUCUCCAGGCACAAUUAACAAACCACUUUGCGAAAAUAGCCCUAUUUUUGCAAAAUAACCGAUGUGGGCAAAAGUGGCUAGACAUGCAAGAGUUGGCUACGACCCUCGAAGCCAAUAAUCUAAGACUCACUAGGAAGACCAGACCCUAUGUGGGUUGCCUACGUAUCCCGCCCCGAGAGACAAGAAUCAGGUUCGCAUAGUUCGGGAAGAUUUGAUACGGGCGAGAAUAAAAAAAACUACUAAUUUAGAGAAAAUAUAUUAUUUUUUUGUCUUUUGUUUUGAAAAAUGAUGAAACAUGUACACUCUUUUUGGAUUUUUUUUUUCCUCUUUUUUUUUUGUUUAUUUUUUUGAAAAAAAAAGACGGGGACAGUGCAAAAUCUUUUUAGAUUUUUUCAUUUUCAUUUUUUUUGUUUUUUUCUUAAAGAAAAAUGUGAAAGAGAAACAUAACUGGGCCCUACUAGCUUUAUUUCUUAUACUUCAUUUAUUUAUUUAUUUAUCCUCAACCCUCAUUGGUCCGUCAAAUGACUCUUUUACCUUUGAAGAAUGGAACAUGUAGCACAUAAGAUGCAUCAGGAUGAUUUUUUAUUUUUGGGUACACUUGUCCUAGACGGACCCAACCCCUGUGUUGAGUCCCCAAAGUCAAAUGCACAUGAUGCAAACAAGCGUUCCUACUAGGGAUUCGGCAUGAGGCUGUGUUAUUCUUGGUUUAAAACCUGGGUGUAUUGCUCUAGACUUGGUAUACCCGAGCGGACAACUCAAGCCGGGAGGGGGGGGGGGGGGGGAGGCUACGUACCGGGAACCAAAAGGCCAUCUAACUUUGUAGCUUGUCCGAACCUCUUUUUAAAUUAGGAUAUGACACUAACAGAAAAGAAGUUACGCCAGCGUGCACUUCCCCGAAGAUAAGAAGAGAAGGGUUUCGCAGCAAUUUAUAUAUAGUUCAAAUAAUAUGAAAGCGGUAAAAAGUGGCAUUUAGCACAUUAGGCCCAAACAUGUAAUACAAAUCAGAUAAUAAAGAAAAGCCAAUUAUAAAGCUAUUCUAAGCUCGAAUUCUGAACCCUGAACCAGAAGUUCUGGGUUCUUGUCCCCAGUAGAAUCGCCAGAGCUGUCAUACCUCUUUUUUUCUACCACCGGAAGGGGUAUAGGGGAGUUUUUCCAAUUAAAGUGACAACCGAAAUGUGAUUAUUUAAUUAAAAUUCAGAGUCGCCACUUGGGAUAAUUUAUGGUGUCCCAAGUCACCAGUUUAAAAUCUCGAAUCGAGAAAGUUUGACUCUGUUUUAUAGUCCGCGAAACACAAAAAACCGGGUAAGGAAUUCUGUUAAUCCCGGAGAAGGUGUUAGGUAUUCCCGGGUUCCUUGGUUUUAGCAUGAUCGCCCAACUAUUAUUAUUGGCCUAAUUAUAUUAUUAAUUACACAUUUUAAACCUACGUGCAUUUUUUAACUUUCUAACCGCUUUUAAUGAUUUAUGGAAUUAUUCUGGAAUUAGUUACAAUUGUUGUACACUUGUUUGUUUGGUACACAUUGCGAAUCGUGUCACCCGGGAACCGUACCCAUGAUCUACAACGCGUUUAAUUUGUUAACAUUAUUAGAAGUUGUGACCAGGUCAGAUAAAUGUACCCCGGGAUAUGGAAAUUAUGUAUCACAACUACGUCACGGAAACCGUACCCGUAGCCAUGAUAAUUUUAUUAUAGUGCGCCUCAAGCAAACUAUGAUGAGACGUAUCCCGAUUGAGACAUCUAUUGUUAGUGCACUUUAGUUAAUCCAGCUAUAUCCACCAACUUCAAAGGAAUCAGAUUUCCAUAUAUAAACAUACUACCGCCAACCUAAUGCACUCAAGAUAAUUCCAACUAAAUCCACCAACAAGAGAGUAAUCCAGUUAUUUAUUCAACUAACCAAUUGGAAAAUUCAACAGCCUUUUCUUUUACAAGAGUACGAGGGUGUAUAUCCCAUAACUUAAAAACCAAACGAUCAAAUAUGGUAAAUAGCACAUAAAGCUAAUUAACAAAUGAAACAUCAUCACAUUCUGCCAAACAAAGCAACAAGAUGGUAACUCGGUAGAGCAGAAAUUUACAACUACAAGGAUCAAACAAAUCCAUAGAAAGAAGUCUCAAACAUAUUAAACUUAAACAACAAGAACCAAUACCAAGAAGUCAUUAAAAUACAACAAUAAGCAAUAUACGAAUACUAAGCAUGAUAUUAAGCAAAACCACACAAUAAACCUUCAGGAAACAUUGUAUGAAUAGGACCUUACAAGAUUUUCUCCAAAAUAGAAAUCUGGAUCCAAUUUUGGACUACGACCGGAACCCUCGACAAACUACCUCGAUCUCGACAGUAUCUCAGUCAUGAUUUCAAAAGAAAUUGAAUGGACAAUAUCUGAAAUAAGCCAAGCGAAGCUUGGAACCAGAUUCAAGUUCCUCUCAUGCUCACAAAAACUCCACUGGUUCGUUGUUGUCCCUUUCUCGUUUCUGUGCAUGUGUGUGGAUGUGUGUGAGUGUUUUUUGUGAAGAUAUGGUAAAGAGAAGGAGGAGCAGUGAUGGGUGUUAUAGAAUGGUCAAGAUUCAGCCGGCUGCUUAAGGUCGUUCGCAUUUUCUCGGCGAGCUGGUGAGAUCGAGUGAAAAAGAAAGGCCGUUCCUGCUGUUAGGGUCGUCGGCGUGGUGGUCACUGGUUAGUGUUGCUGAAGCUUAGGGUUCUAAGGGUGUUAGACUGAGGAAGAUGAUAGUCUUGGGGUUUUGGCUUUGUUUCAAAGAAGAAUAUGAAGCUUAGGGGUGUUCAUGGAAACGACUGUCCAUUCUCGCUCUCUUUCUUGGUGAAGAUGAAGGUGGAAACGGCCGGAAUCUGGUCUGGUUUGAAAAGUGGCGGCUGGCUAUAUGGAAAUUAGGGUUGGUGUAUCCAUGAAGAAGAAGGAACGACUGGAAAAAUAUGGGUCCUCUCUAGGGUUGCUUCUCU
rnacentral:lncRNA from 1 species